rnacentral:lncRNA from 1 species
GAAGUAGUGUUGACACUGACAAGCCAUAUUAUACAGAAGAUGAACUAGAUAGGGUUGUUCAGUGCAAGCUGAUGUUGAGGCUGAAGUCGGAGAUGAGUUUGAGGAUGAACACGAAACUCCUGAUGAUCAAACUGAUAUUGAUGAUGAUGUUGGUGACCCUGUCUUCAUUGAUGACGAUAGCAGUGAAACUUCUUCCUCUGAAGGUAAUAUAAUUAGAACAGUCGAGAGUCCGAUACAGCUUGAUAGACAGGAUACAUGCUUUUACAACAUGAUACAAGACUGUAGCAUUCCUUGCAUUUGCUAAAACAUUUGCCAGUGUUUAGAGUUAAUUAAUUUGAAUACACUAUAAAAUUGCAAGGGUCUACCAGCAGUUGAAGCCAUCCAA